AGAUUGAACGCUAGCGGGAUGCUUUACGCAUGCAAGUCGAACGGCAGCGCGGACUUCGGUCUGGCGGCGAGUGGCGAACGGGUGAGUAAUAUAUCGGAACGUGCCCAGUAGCGGGGGAUAACUACGCGAAAGCGUGGCUAAUACCGCAUACGCCCGUACGGGGGAAAGGGGGGGAUCGCAAGACCUCUCACUAUUGGAGCGGCCGAUAUCAGAUUAGCUAGUUGGUGAGGUAAGGCUCACCAAGGCGACGAUCUGUAGCUGGUUUGAGAGGACGACCAGCCACACUGGGACUGAGACACGGCCCAGACUCCUACGGGAGCAG
rnacentral:rRNA from 1 species